rnacentral:lncRNA from 1 species
AAAAAUCACUUGAGUUUUGGGGGAGAGUCACCUCACACCACACGCACACAUAUAUAUGCAACCAAUUUUUUUUCCCCAAAGUAAAUCCAGCUCCGAGUUUCAGAAAUCACGCACGCAUACGUUUCGGUCUUUCUUGGCGAAGAGGCCGCCCAAGUUGAACCCGCCACCGCUGCCGCCGUCGCCGCUGCUGCUGGCAGGUUUCUUGCCGCCGGACGUGGUGACGUUUCAGUCUUUCUUGGCGAAGAGGCCGCCCAAGUUGAACCCGCCACCGCUGCCGCCGUCGUCGCUGCUGCUGGCAGGUUUCUUGCCGCCGGACGUGGUGCCGCCCCGCGGCUUGGCGCGCGAGGCGGCGGCCGGCGCGCCGUCGAC